rnacentral:rRNA from 1 species
UACGUAGGGGGCGAGCGUUGACCGACUUUACUGGGCGUAAAGCGCACGCAGGCGGCUUGGUAAGUCUGGUGUGAAAUCUCACGGCUCAACCGUGAGGCUGCACCAGAUACUGCGAAGCUCGAGGACGGGAGAGGAGAUCGGAAUUCCCGGUGUAGCGGUGAAAUGCAUUGAUAUCCGGAGGAACACCAGUGGCGAAGGCGGAUCUCUGGCCCGUUGCUGACGCUGAGGUGCGAAAGCUUGGGGAGCGAAAGGG